AUGAACGCUGGCGGCGUGCCUAAUACAUGCAAGUCGAGCGAACAGACGAGGAGCUUGCUCCUCUGACGUUAGCGGCGGACGGGUGAGUAACACGUGGAUAACCUACCUAUAAGACUGGGAUAACUUCGGGAAACCGGAGCUAAUACCGGAUAAUAUAUUGAACCGCAUGGUUCAAUAGUGAAAGACGGUUUUGCUGUCGCUUAUAGAUGGAUCCGCGCCGCAUUAGCUAGUUGGUAAGGUAACGGCUUACCAAGGCGACGAUGCGUAGCCGACCUGAGAGGGUGAUCGGCCACACUGGAACUGAGACACGGUCCAGACUCCUACGGGAGGCAGCAGUAGGGAAUCUUCCGCAAUGGGCGAAAGCCUGACGGAGCAACGCCGCGUGAGUGAUGAAGGUCUUCGGAUCGUAAAACUCUGUUAUUAGGGAAGAACAAAUGUGUAAGUAACUAUGCACGUCUUGACGGUACCUAAUCAGAAAGCCACGGCUAACUACGUG
rnacentral:rRNA from 1 species